GUGUGGGUUGGCUCAGUGGUUAGAGCUUAGGUCUCUUAACCGAAUGCUCGCGGAAUCGAAUCCCGCUUGAGGCU
rnacentral:tRNA from 1 species